rnacentral:rRNA from 1 species
GGAAUCUUCCGCAAUGGGCGAAAGCCUGACGGAGCGACGCCGCGUGAGCGAUGAAGGCCUUCGGGUUGUAAAGCUCUGUGGGGAGGGAAGAAUAAGUUCAGGCCAAUACCCUGAAUGAUGACGGUACCUCCUUAGCAAGCACCGGCCAACUCUUUGCCAGCAGCCGCGGUAAGACAGAGGGUGCAAACGUUGUUCGGAUUUACUGGGCGUAAAGCGCGUGUAGGCGGCCUUGCAAGUUGGAUGUGAAAGCCCACGGCUCAACCGUGGAAGCGCAUCCAAAACUGCAUCGCUCGAGUCUCGGAGAGGAAGGUGGAAUGCUUGGUGUAGAGGUGAAAUUCGUAGAUAUCAAGCAGAACACCUGCGGCGAAGGCGGCCUUCUGGACGAUGACUGACGCUGAGGCACGAAAGCUUGGGGAGCGAAC